rnacentral:ncRNA from 1 species
AAGUGGUUUAAUUUCAGCCAUAUAAAUACAUUAAAGAACCCACAUAUAAUUAUUAAAUAUUGGUAAUCAGCAUAUUAGGUGUUGAUCAAUUAGUGGAUAAAUUUUAGGUUUCUAAAAAUUAGAUCUAAGUUCUUUAUUAUUAGCUAGGAAAAGUCACAGUGCCAGCAUCCGCGGUUAUUCUGUUUAGUGUUAUUUAAAAAUACAAAAUUAAGGGUACUCCUUACACUAUAUAGGUAGAAUCUUAAUAGUGCAAAGUUAUUUUACCCUUUAAAUACAAGAAAUAAGUUAAUAAGAAUGAGAUUAGAUACCUCAGUAUUACUUAUAUAUUAGUUUUUAGUUAAACUAAAGAAAUUUGGCAGUCUUUUAUUCUCCACUGGGGGUUGUGUGUGUUAAAGGAUGAUCCACCAAUUAACUUACCCUUGGUCAUUAUGUAGGUGUACGUCUGACUGAAUACUAAUAUAAAGAUAUAUUAGUGUAAUUGGUUAUACUAAUUUAAGUCAAGUCUAUGUGCCACUAUACUAGGGUUCACAUGCUACACCUUAACAGGCUAGCCAUUGUAAAUUAUGGCUAUGCGUCAGGACUAGUAAGUAUAUACAUUUAAAUAGUUGUAUAUAAAAGAGUUUAAUAGAGGUACAUACCGCCCGUCAAUCUCGGUUUUCACUGAGAUAAGUCGUAACAUGGCAGCCUAUGGGGAACCAGAGGCUUGUAAA